GCCUUCGAAGAAUAACAGCUCAUUUGUUGGUCUUAGGAACCAAAGACUCUUGGUGCAAAUCCAAGCGAAAGCU
rnacentral:tRNA from 1 species